AGGUAUAAAAGCAAAAGAAAAGGAAAAAACCUUCAGAAAUAGUUGCCCGGUUCUUGGAUUGAAAAUAAAGAUAGCACCGUUGAUGGGUUUGGUGGUCAGGUUACCCUCGAAAGUUUUGUGAAUGGUAACUCGGUAGACAUUCGUGUCAUCCACAAACCAUAUGAUUUGAUUGCUGAAUAUCUCUCCAUAGUUCUGUGA
rnacentral:rRNA from 1 species